GUGUGAAAGCUUGGGGCUUAACUCCAGGUCUGCAUUCGAUACGGGCUGGCUAGAGGUAGGUAGGGGAGAACGGAAUUCCUGGUGUAGCGGUGAAAUGCGCAGAUAUCAGGAGGAACACCGGUGGCGAAGGCGGUUCUCUGGGCCUUACCUGACGCUGAGGAGCGAAAGCGUGGGGAGCGAACAGGAUUAGAUACCCUGGUAGUCCACGCUGUAAACGUUGGGCGCUAGGUGUGGGGGCCUUCCACGGUUUCCGCGCCGUAGCUAACGCAUUAAGCGCCCCGCCUGGGGAGUACGGCCGCAAGGCUAAAACUCAAAGGAAUUGACGGGGGCCCGCACAAGCGGCGGAGCAUGUUGCUUAAUUCGACGCAA
rnacentral:rRNA from 1 species